AUGACGUCAGGGCUGCACCCACUCCCGGCCGCGGCACUCGGCCUAGCAACCGCUCCCGGGGAGCCUCCUCCCGCGGGCAGGGGCUCUGAGGUGCCGCGCCGCCCGGCCACCGAACCGGUGCCUCCGCGCGGGUGCCGCUGCCGCAGAGCCCCUCCCGCUCCUCCCGCCGCCGUGCCGCCGCCGAACCUCCCCGCACGCACCGCCGGCCCGCUGCGGGGCGCUGUGCCCCGGGAACGCUGCGGCCCGGCGCGGUGCUGGUAGGGAGUCGUAGGGCCGCGCGGCACGUGUGCGGGGAGCGGAGCGGCGCGGGGCCGGCGCCGCCGUCAUGCCCAAGGUGCGGGCGGGGAAGCGGCCGCGGCAGGAGCGCGGGGAGCGCUGCGCCUCCGGCAUCCUGUUCAACACCGGGGCCGGACAGCACAUCCUGAAGAACCCGCUCGUCGUCAACAGCAUCAUCGAGAAGGCUGCCCUACGGCGUACGGAUGUCAUUCUGGAAGUGGGACCAGGAACUGGUAACCUGACAGUAAAGAUGUUAGAGAAAGUUAAAAAAGUUAUUGCUUGUGAAAUUGACCCUAGACUUGUUGGUGAACUUCAGAAGAGAGUCCAGGGCACGUGUCUGGCAAACAAACUAGAAAUCAGGGUUGGAGAUGUCUUAAAAACAGACUUGCCGUUCUUUGAUGCAUGUGUGGCUAACUUGCCUUACCAGAUUUCUUCACCUUUUGUUUUCAAGUUGCUGCUUCACAGACCUUUUUUCAGGUGUGCAAUACUUAUGUUUCAAAGGGAAUUUGCACUUCGUUUGGUUGCCAAACCAGGAACUAAACUAUACUGCAGACUCUCCAUUAAUACUCAGUUACUAGCUCGAGUGGACCAUCUGAUGAAGGUUGGAAAGAACAAUUUCAGGCCUCCUCCCAAAGUGGAAUCCAGUGUUGUCAGAAUAGAGCCAAAGAACCCACCACCACCUGUCAACUUCCAGGCUUGCGUUAGGACAUUACCUGAACAUGCCGCCAUCAAUUCAGGUCCAGUUUUAUUUACACUAUUUCUGACAAGACUGAGGAGCCGUCUCCAUGUCAGUUGGAGAGUUGCUAGUAAUAAUGUCCCUUUCAUGGUGGUUUUUAUCUUCCAGAGACUCUUUGGGCUGAUGACUUUGUUAUGAUCAAAGGAGUAUCUGUGAGAAGGCUUAUCUUCAGAUGAGUGUGCACAGGAUAGUAGUCUUAAAAUUACGCUGAAUGCUCCAUCCCUGGCAGUGUUCAAGACCAGGCUGGACAGGGCAUGAGCAACUAGGUUUGAACUAGGUGAUCUUAAGGUCCUUUCCAACCCUAACUAUUCUGUGAUUCUAUGAAAAUGCUUUUGAUCUUCAGGACCAUUUCAGCCUUCCCCAAGGUUAGCCAGAUUUUCUUCAAUUAUCUUUCUUCUCAGCACAUGAGGACAAUUUCAAGGUUUUCAAGAACAAUUCAGAGGUUUUUGUGGUUGAAGAAUUUUCUCCUCCAUUUGUAUUGCUUUGUCCAAAUCAGGUUUUGUAUUGUUUAGAAAGAUAUUUUCCAGAAUUUAGUUUCUGUGUUCAAUAUUCUUGUUCUGAAGUUGUUAGUGACUUGACUUGUUCGUAGUAGCUGUAUGUUCCUCUCUGUAAAUUCUGACCUUUUUAAUUUCAGGAGUGGGAUGGUAUGGUAAGAAUAGCCUUUGUUAGGAAAAACAAGACACUCUCUGCAGCAUUUAAGUCAAGUGCUGUAGAGCAGUUACUGGAUCAUAAUUACCGAAUUCAUUGUUCCUUACAUAAUACAGAAAUACCUGAAAACUUCAAAAUUGCAGAGAAAAUACAGUCUGUCCUAGAAAAUACAGGUUACUCUGAAAAACGAGCCCGUUCAAUGGAUAUAGAUGAUUUUAUUAGCUUGCUACAUGGCUUCAAUUCAGAAGGCAUCCAUUUCUCAUAGAUUCUACUAGAAGAAUUGAAAGAUCUUCCAUAUUUCAUCUCCGCAGACUUGUCUAAGUCAGAGUGACUGCAGUGUACGUGCACAUUCUGGUUCUUAAAAUGUUACAUGCAGUUUUAUCACAGAGAGUAGGGAAGAAGCUGCUGCUCUCUAUUUUAAGAGAGAAAUUCUUCAUAACUGAAGUGAGGUGCUGGAUCCCACAUGACAGUAUAUUUUUAAAUAUACCAAAUAACAUGGAUGGAUGCUGCUGUGAUUGAAAUCUGUGUUCUCUGAUCAUGGACUUUGCCUCAGUAAAUUCUUGCACCGUACUCAACAGUACAACCCUAAGUCUGGUCUGGGCAACAAAAACAGUUGUAGUUAUUUCUUUUGUUUGGGUUUGUUGUUUUAAAAAAUGAUUAAAAAAAAAAAAGUAUAUUUAAACAUUUUCUUUUCAUUUGAAAUGCUGGUGUCUUCCACGUGUUCUCUGCUAGCUGCCCGCAUUCCAAGUCUGUUAGCAAUCUGCUUCUCUUGGAGAAAUCCCAGUAACACUUUCUCAGGAAGAGCAGCAUUUAUCUUGCCAGCUCAGUAUCAUUUACAAAAACAUUACCAAGGUACCUGAAAGUACCAGUGUCAUCUCCUUACACCGUCUUUAUUGCCAUCAAACCACUGCAGGAACGAGCAGAAAGCUACCAAAGGGCUUUCUCAUUUUCAAAAAGUCUCAUAAGCAUGGGCAGAAAGGUUAUUUUUGUCAACUGUAAAUUCAAGCAGCUAUUUUUAUAAGAAAAAUACUUCACCCAUCAAGGGAGGGAAAGGUUUUAGCAUAGAUCAAAGCUUUCAGUGAGUCUUAGAGGAGUGCAUGCCUGUGUCCUGACACAAAGACUUACUGAAGUGCUUUAAUAUCGUUCAGAUUAUUAUGUAUUUGUUAUUAAGGACAAGGCAAUUUUCCCAAGGAGUUUUGUAUUAACUGUAGCAGCUGUCAAAAGAAAAAUCCACUUUGGUCUGUCUUACAGGAAAACAGUAACUUUUAACUCUGCAGCAUCAUGCAGGGGUGAAGGCAUGGCUCCAUGUAUUAGCUACCGUAAGUAAUUUUUCCAUGUGUUGCACACCUCUUUCAAGACAACCACAGUAAGCGGAGAAGAGGCAAAUUAGCAAAAACUCUUCUAAGAUGUAACUUCAUUUUAUACACAUCCAAUGUUAAUUCUCACAAGUCAUUGUUUCAGAGGCAUGUACAGAAACAGGCACUUGAAUUUACAGGCAUCCCAAGAGGUUGUCUUGAAAAACCAAACUGCUCAUUUGUUUUUUAAUUUAAUGAUUUUAGUGCUGGUUCACUGCAUAUAGAACCAAUGUAUGGGUGAGGUAAGCAGCAACAGCAGUAUGCUCAGACUAAUACAGAAGGAGCAAGUGGUGGAGAUCUGUGUCACUUAAUAGGAAGCUGUUGAAAUAUAACUGAGUCUGUCCUUCCUGUCUGCUUUGGUACCUGCUGUAAACCACAGCCUGGUUGUGGCUCUAGGCGUGCAUGGAGGAACAGUAGGGAAUCUACUAUUUCUGAUAUAGGGUGUCUCGAUCUUUAGAGGCAUUUUAGAAAGUAAACUGCCGGAGAAGUCUUCAAAGAAGCCCUCUGGUAUUGUACGAUCACCUGUACUGUACUAUCACCUGCUAACAAAACCCGCUGCCUUCUAUUUCACUUUUUUUCUUAUAAUUGUGGUGGAGGACAUUCUUAAAACAAAUGUUCAGAAAGACACAUGAUGUUUCUUUUAAGACUUGCUGAAAAACUUUUAGGACAGUGUUCUGGGCAACUUCUUCAUGCAUGACAAAUCUGUACGAAGAGCUGGCUCUUGAAGUAAAUACUCAUUCUGAAAUCAGAGGCCUUUUGUUCAAAAGUGCAACUCCAGUGCGGUUACAAAGUGAAACCCUUCCCAAAGCACAACAGAAUUUCCAUAGAAGUAAACUCUCAGAUGUAAUUCAUUUAAUAGCUUAAUUUUAUUAAACACAUUAUGUAAAAUCUA